rnacentral:lncRNA from 1 species
CUUUCUUCUGGAACCGCAGAGACACGAAGCUGAAGAUCUUGGCUCUCAGGGGAGUCAGCUGAGAUAAGCUCAUUGUUCUCUUCCUUCUCUUCCAUCUUCCCUGCCUUGUCAGACGCUGAAAAAACCUGAGAGACCAUCAAGAGAUGACGAAACUGAGGCUCGGAGAGAUUGAAUAAUUUGCCCAAGGUCCCUGGUCAAGCAUGAAACCAAGCCGAGGUCUGUCUAUGUGCCUCCCGAGCCUAUGCAUUUAACUCCACGUUUAAUACCUUCCACCGCAGAUUCAAGAACAGUGAAUCCCAGGUCACAUGAAUGGUCCUUGGCCAGCUUGUGGAAGUAUUUUCAGCGGAUGACAGAGUGCUCAGCUGCAAAGGAGACUCC